AUGAACUGUAACUCAGUAAAAUCUUUGAAAUUGUCGCAUGUUGCAUUGAUAUUUUUGUUCAGUGUAAUUAUUUUCCUAAGUUAGCAAUGUCAUGGUAUUUCCAUGUCACUCUAAGUUAGAGUAAUUUAGAUGAAACAGUCACAUUAGCCUUCGAGGUGCAACCCAUGUCUAGGGCACAAAUUGGAUGCAGCUAUGGUGGUACUAGCUAACUCAUGUCUGACUACAGCAACAAACUCAAACCAACCCAGGACCAUAGCAGAACAUGUCACAGUUGGUUGCGUAGUGUAAGGGCGUCACCGGUCUGAGUCUAAUCCAAUCUGGAGCCAGUCAGUCUAUAUCUAUGAAGCAUAGAAUUAGCUUCCAAACAAGAUUAUGUUCUUUCUCGAGCUAUGUUUAUAUUUGAGGUAUGAUGAUAGUUGUUGACCGUGUUUUUUAAAUUUUAGACAAAGUGCACAGUUGGGUGCCAGAGUCAUCCCCUGGUGAUGAAUGGAUUCCGGGACCUACCAGAAGGAGCAAAGUUGGAUUUCAUUACAUGUCCAGCAAUGUGAUUGCAAUGGUUUAGCGACCGCCAAAAAUCAUUUUAUUCACUGUUCACCUGCUAUUUUCACAGCUUGUCAGGCAAGACCUCAGAAUAUAACUGUGUAAUGCGACAUAACUACCCUUGUGACACCUCCUCCAUUGUCGCCAGUCUCCCUUGAAUCCUAUGUCAAGGACAGGCCCUCAUGAUGACACAGGUGGCUUCAUCAACAAUGACAGGUAAUGAUGUGUGUUAUGUGAAAAGUUGUAUUAAAAAAUAACCCUCUUGAUAAAAUAGUAGGCUAAUUCCCCAGCCAAGCAGACGCAACUAGUAGAGUCAUUUUGGUUGUGAAGUGUCACAGACUCUCCCAGUCAACGCCGCCUCAUAAGAUUGCCUGCUGCAGUUGUUCGAGAGCUGUCCAGUUUGAAUCCGAACAUGCAACAUAGAAAAGACCAGUAAGGGGGCCCUUUUAAGCAUCAUGCAGACAAGCCCUCGCUGUGAGCAUUCCUAUGAAUGGAACAGUCAGCCAUAUGUUGGCAAGUAUCCGGCCAGCAAACUUCACCUGUCAACAGCAACAGUUUUCACAAGCUCAUCAUUUAUACAAAUACAGAAGGUAAGCCACUUCAUUACUUUGAUACCUUUGAGAACCCAAUUGUGAAACAAUUUAUGUAAACUGACCAUUUUUGUUGCUUAUUUUCUACUUCUUAGAUGCAUAUAAUGUCUCGAGCAUAACCUAGCCUGGUGGAACCAGCCUGAUCGAAGUGAGUUAGAAAGGUGAAUGCUGGGUUCCACCAGGCUAGUCAUAACCAUCAUAACCACCACUGAUAACGUAAUCAGUGCUGUGCGUGUGCGACGGACCAGUAUCUUUGAUGAGAGGCCAGGAGCUGAUCUACGCUGCUGUGUCCAUCAACGGGGCUCUGGCAAGGACCUCACCUCACCUCCAGCCUCGCCUCUUGCCUGCUCACCUCCAGCCUCACUCAUUAGACGCAUGAGAUGCAGAGAGACCUGGCACUCAACCCAUCCACUCAACACAUCCACAAUGAGACGGACUGGAGACCAUAGGCUUUAUCUGACCUGUUCAAACUUCAACAUAGUACCUGUUUGUGUGUCGGAUAUCACCUAUCCUAACUGCCAUUGGUGAAUAGAACAGUGACUAUGUGUGUACGUGUUCACUGAAACAAAUCCAGACUGAGAGAGACUUGGCACUCUGCAUUCAGAUUUGUACGAGACACAACGUUUACUUUGAAUUAUUGAAUUGAAUGGUAUCAGUCAAUAUUGGGAGAGGAAAAACCCUGUGUAUUCUGCAGGAAGGUAUGACCACUCUGACAUGUUUGCCAAGGUAGCCCCAUUACCACCAGACAAAAUGUUGAUAGUCACAGUGUCUGUAUCCGCUGGGAAUGACAAUGAAAGACGAAAGGUUCACAUUGUUAUAUUAGCAAAACACUGCUGCUAUGGUAUUAUGUAAAGGGUUGAUUAUUCUACAUGGACCUGAUACAUUUCAAAGUUAUCAAAACACGUACUUUAGAAUAUCUACAUAAAUGCUGCAAUUGCAUUCUUCUCAUAACUCUGUAGGCUACUGACAUUUCCAAGCUUCCUCCGGCAUCUCACCAUACAUCUGCCUGUAGUUACUGAACUCAACCUGCAGGUUUAUUUUUGUUGUUGUGAUGGAGUUUGGGGAAGCAGCUGCUGGCAAGGUGAGUUUGUCUUGGUGGUGGCAAGGAACCACACCCCCAAACCAACUCAUGUUUGGCUUCUGUCAUGGCCGCCAGCAUUUCUUGAGGAGCAAGCCAAAAAAUGAAAUCAGCGGAUGCAGUUCCACUUUAAAUGUCUUGAAUUGUUGGUUAGCAAAAGAGAGCAACAACUUUUUGUGACAGAUUAUGUUUCUCUACCUUUUCUCGUUUAAGUCAAUUUCAGUCCCCUAUUAAGCCCACCAAAAUCUAAGUUGAGAUAUUACUAACAUAUACUGCCGUACUUCCUUGUAAGAAAAGUGGAGAUAAAAUGGAAGAUGAAUCUCUCAUGUGACGUUUUAUGAUUUAACUUUUUUUUAAAUUGUAAGACAUCCAAAUAUGUGAUAAAAUAUGUGAAAAGUCCA